UAUAUGAUUUGACAUGUAGCAAAGUGGUAGCGCUGCGGCGGUCGUGAUCACCUUAUGCCUCAAACACGACGCUUUGUCACGGGUGCAAAAGGCAAAUGUGCAUACGUGCAUUGUGCAGUGGGCCAAAAAGGGAACUUUGGAUGCUUUAUUUAUUAGCAAAUAAUAGAUCUGAUGAUUUAAAUAAUGUCCACUGGUUUUAGUGUAAGUGUAAAUUAGUUGAUAUAGAUUUUAAAUUGUUAAUUUAAUAGGUACACAAUAUAAUGUCGUAGACUUUAUUUUGAAACAAUGCAUUAUUUGAGAAUGAUAGUCCAAUGUAAUAAAAAAUAGAUCCAAUGAUUUAAAUAAUGGGUUCAUCGGUUUAAGUGCACGUAUAAAUUAGUUAAUAUAGAUCUUAAAUUAUUUAUUUGAUAGGUACACAAUAUAAUUGUGUAAACUUUAUUUUAAAAUAGUGUAUUAUUUGAAAAUAAUAGUACAAAGUAAUGAGUACGACGGUUUAAUUAAGUGGAAAUUAUCUUACUCCCUCCGGUUUCAUUCUAAUUGAAGUUUUGGAUAAUAACACGGUCUACAAAAUAUAUGUUUGACCUUAUUUUUCUAUUAUAAUAUAUACGAUAAAUAAAUAUAUGUCUUUAUUAUAAUAUAUAAGAUAAAUAAAUAUAUGUUUACUUUUAUUAUAGUGCUUUGAGAGACAAAUCUAUAUAUGUUGUUCUAGUUCCUUUAAACUAAAUAUUUUUAAAGUUAUUGAUAGUCAAAGUUAUAAAAGUUUGACCUCAACCUUGUCCAAAAGGUCAAUUAUUAUAGAACUGGAGGGGGUACAUUAUUAAUUUAAUGGGUAACAUAUAAUGGUGUAAAUUUUAUUUUCAAUAACUGUAGAGCUAAUUAGUUACAUGUGAGUUGUUUGACGGUUGAUUCUUUGUUAGUAAAAUUAUGAUUAUUUAAAAAAUAUAUAUCCAUUAUAUAAAUGGAAAAGGAAGAAAAAAAAGAAGGGAUGGAAUGUACGUACAUAUACCUACACAUGCGCGGAGAAGAGGAGAGGUGGGACCCCAUAGUAUUUGGUUUGUUUAUUUUUAGAAUUUCUAUGAUUUUCUCUAAUUUAUUAGAGCGUCAUGUGGCGGCUUGAGAGCAUUUGUAGGAAGUUUAAUGGACUUUUAGUAUACCUACACAUGCCUGGGAGAGAGGAGAGGUGGGACCCCAUAGUAUUUUGUUUGCUUAUUCUUAGAAUUUCUAGGAUUUUCUCUAAUUUAUUAGAGUAUCACGUGGCGGCUUGAGAGCAUUUGUAGAAAAUUUAAUGAACUUUUAGUAUAUAAUAGAUAGAUAGAUAGAUAUAUUUUAUUUUUUUAAAAAAUAUAGGAAAUCCUGUCGAUUUUCUUUCCAAUGAUGGUAUUACGUACAUAUGUUUCUUUGACUUUAUUUUCUUCUGUAUAUCGUAUAAGAACAUGUAUAUGGUUUUUUUUUUCUUGCGGCACAGUAGGCCAGCUUUAUUUUUUUUCCUUUGAAUCGUACUUAGUACAAACAGUUAUAUAUUUCUUGUGUGGGAGGAAGGUAUUAUGUUUUUAAUAAUAGAUCUAAUCUAAUGGUGCCACGUGGUGGUCUAGGAGUGUUUGUAGGAGUGCCACAUGGCGGCUUGACAGCGUUUGUAGGAAGUUUAAUGGACUUUUAGUAUAUAAUAGAAGAUUGUUAUUGUAAAAAAACUUAAUUAAUUACUAUAAAUAAAAUAGAAUGUACCAAUACUUAUGAUCCCACCUAUAAUGGUUAGUUGAGCAAUAUACGUUGCUCUUACCCUAAAGCUGGUAACUAUCCAAGUUCAAACCCAUUGAUCAAAUUUACCGAUGGAAAAUUGGGUUUUUUCAAAAUCUUUUUUCGUUACCAUUAUUUUGUGUUGAAUGAUGAUUUGUGAUAACUAUUCAACGGUAUAGACAAACUAAUUAACUAUUGCACAGUUGAAUAAUGGUUUUAAAAUAAUUUUCUACGAAAUUUAUCUACAUAAAGUUUUUGUGAAAAUCUCACCGUUUAAGAGCUUUCAGGAAGCGUCAACAUUCCAUUCCAUUCCAUCGUUAAUUGUCUUUAGGAGUUAUCAAUAGAUAACACAUUUUAUAAGAAAAAUUCUUGUAAUUUCUAAAACCUCAGAACUAAUCCUAAUUACUCAGAGGAGCCAAACUUUUGUGUUUGAAAAAUAUAUGGUAAGAGAAUGUUCUAAAGGAUUCAGCAUCAGUUUAGCACACAUGUUUCUCGGGGUCCGUCUGACUUCAUGGCUCCACGGAACUCCACACCUUGUCUUGUUUAGAGAACAAUGGCAGGCUCACGACUAUGUUGAGCAUGUUGUUGGCGGUGGACAGCUAUCGCCCAACUAUGAUGGUAAGAGAAUGUUCUAAAGGAUUCAGCAUCAGUUUAGCACACAUGUUUCUCGGCGUCUGACUUCAUGGCUCCACGGAACUCCACACCUUGUCUUGUUUAGAGAACAAUGGCUGGCUCACGACUAUAUUGAGCAUGUUGUUGGCGGUGGACAGCUCUCGCCCAGCUAUGAUGCGCUAGCAAUACGGUGUAUUUCUCCUACCAUCAGCCGGGCAUCCCGUUGUUGUUGAAGCCUAUUAUACUUGUCCAACGACCAGAAAUAAGGAUUUUCGCAAUGUUCCGGUUGCCUCUUGCUAGCACGAGAUAACCAUUUGAGCUGGUCUGUAUCAACGUGCUUCAACUCUAGUUCUCGAUGCAUCCUAUUCUUAUGUAGAUCUUGUCUCGCUCGCUACCAAUCACCUCCUCCCGGCAUCCUAUCCUCUUAGCAAGCACUAAAUUUUUUGGGAUGAAUGGAAUGUCCAAGCUUUGAUAUACAGUUUUUGUGUGCUAAUUUAGUAUAUAUGCAGUAUCAUUGAAUUACAAACAUAUAUGCUCAACUCUUGUUUCCCCUUGCGUUCACAAAUCUCACGCUAGCAAACAUAUG
rnacentral:sRNA from 1 species